rnacentral:rRNA from 1 species
UACGUAGGGUGCGAGCGUUGUCCGGAAUUAUUGGGCGUAAAGGGCUCGUAGGCGGUCUGUUGCGUCGGGGGUGAAAACUCAGGGCUUAACCCUGAGCCUGCUUCCGAUACGGGCAGACUAGAGGUAUGCAGGGGAGAACGGAAUUCCUGGUGUAGCGGUGAAAUGCGCAGAUAUCAGGAGGAACACCGGUGGCGAAGGCAGUUCUCUGGGCAUUACCUGACGCUGAGGAGCGAAAGUGUGGGGAGCGAACAGG